rnacentral:rRNA from 1 species
GACGAACGCUGGCGGCGUGCUUAACACAUGCAAGUCGAACGGAAAGGCCCUGCUUUUGUGGGGUGCUCGAGGGGCGAACGGGUGAGUAACACGUGAGUAACCUGCCCUUGACUUUGGGAUAACUUCAGGAAACUGGGGCUAAUACCGGAUAGGAGCUCCUGCUGCAUGGUGGGGGUUGGAAAGUUUCGGCGGUUGGGGAUGGACUCGCGGCUUAUCAGCUUGUUGGUGGGGUAGUGGCUUACCAAGGCUUUGACGGGUAGCCGGCCUGAGAGGGUGACCGGCCACAUUGGGACUGAGAGACGGACCAGACUCCUACGGGAGGCAGCAGGGGGGAAUAUUGCACAAUGGGAGGAAGCCUGAUGCAGCGACGCCGCGUGCGGGAUGACGGCCUUCGGGUUGUAAACCGCUUUCGCCUGUGACGAAGCGUGAGUGACGGUAAUGGGUAAAGAAGCACCGGCUAACUACGUG